rnacentral:misc_RNA from 1 species
GAUGAAGAACGUAGCGAAAUGCGAUAAGUAAUGUGAAUUGCAGAAUUCAGUGAAUCAUCGAAUCUUUGAACGCACAUUGCGCCCCCUGGUAUUCCGGGGGGCAUGCCUGUUCGAGCGUCAUUACAACCCUCAAGCUCUGCUUGGUAUUGGGCCCCGCCAGUUCUGGCGGGCCCUAAAGUCAGUGGCGGUGCCUUCCGGCUCCGAGCGUAGUAAUUCUUCUCGCUCUGGAGACCCGGUUGUGUGCUUGCCAACAACCCCCAAUUUUUUAAGGUUGACCUCGGAUCAGGUAGGGAUACCCGCUGAACUUAAGCAUACAAUAAGCGGAGGA